rnacentral:lncRNA from 1 species
AGAGCUUGCUGUUUUCAAGUUCUGAUUAUGGGAACUUGGAUAAAUAAGAAGUUUGAAGCUAAGUACUUUAAGUUUUCUUUAUUUUGUGCAUGAACCUCAGGAAAGUAAAAGUAGAGCAAAAGAAAAAGCAAGGGGAUUUGAGACAGGAGAAAUGAGUGAGUCUGGGACUUAGUGCUUAGUGUCAUCCUCUAUAACUGUUAUGGAUAAUUAUUAAUCUCUGGGCCUUAUGGCUCUCUGGCAAAUGUGUUCUUGGAAGAAGGUCUUGAUUAAUCUGUGUUUCUGUUUCAGAGGUGUGGAUAAACACUUUUUUGUUUGCUCUUCUCCAUUUGUACACCUGCAAAGACAAGCCUUUUCCAGUAUCUGCAUUUGGAUCCAUGAGGGAGUUAUUAAUUACACUGGCACCACUAUCCAGUAGCAAUGGGACAAUGACCCUGCACUCCAAAGUGACCACAUGUGGUAACAGAGGGGACCAUGCUGGCACAGUGCAUCUGGAAACUCGUGUGGGAAACUGUCCUGCGCUGCUGGUGAGAUCCAAGGAAACCCCUGAUGGAGUGAGUGAGUGUGUGGUUUUCAGGGAAAGCUCUGCAGGAGUGGGACUCCAGUGACGGCCCCAUCCAUCACAAGUCACAGCUCUUAUCUCUGCAGUGCAUAAGAGAUAUGGUUUAUGAAAAAGCUCUAGGUGAUUAUUUGUUUUUCUUCUCCUCCGUAUAUGUGUCAGGAGUUGCUUGGAGCAAGCUUUGUCUGUUGGUGGCAUGUGAAACAGUAUCUUCCAGGAAACUUCAGAAAUAUUUUAUGAAGUGUAGUAAUAAAAAUAUCCAUGUGGUACA